GCCAGGCUGGCCGAGUGGUUAAGGCGUUGGGCUUAAGAUCCAAUGGAUGUAGUCCUUGUGGGUUCAAACCCCACUCCUGGUA